rnacentral:rRNA from 1 species
CCCUUAGAUGUUCUGGGCUGCACGCGCGCUACACUGAAGCUAUCAACACGUUUUCCCUCCCUGAGAAGGGCGGGUAACCUUUUGAAUCAGCUUCGUGGUAGGGAUCGGGGCUUGCAAUUGUUCCCCGUGAACCAGGAAUUCCUAGUAGACGCGAGUCAUAAGCUCGCAUCGAUUAAGUCCCUGCCCUUUGUACACACCGCCCGUCGCUACUACCGAUUGAACGUUUUAGUGAGGCAUUUGGACCGACGCAUCUCAGUUUAACCGCUGGUUUGUGUUGGAAAGACUUCCAAACUUGAGCGUUUAGUGGAAGUAAAAGUCGUAACA